GUUAGUUUUUCUACACCACAGCAGCUGGCUAAAACUCAUAAACAGGAGUCUGACACUGCAGAAGAGAGUGACAAAAAGGAAUCAUGCAACAGGAUGGAGGAGUGCUCAGCUGCCAAGCAAGAGUCCCAAUUACAAGUAGAGGUGUUUCCUAUAAUUCAGCUUACUUUACCCUUCUAACUUCUAGCAUAAAACGUACCCUGCAACAGGCUGGCUGUAUUUCAGUGGUAAAACAUGGUAUUAUUUUGCAAUCAGAAUUGAUACUGUUGGUAUAGCCACAAUGGUUGUCCCAGAACCCGAGGUGCAAGAUGUGCGAGGUAAGGAAGUCUUUCAUUUGACCAAUUUGAGAUUUAAAUUGUCAGUUGUCACUGGUUAUUACCCUUCCAAGUAGUCAAUUCAUUAUCAAAAUUAGGUUAAAACUAAAGCAAUUGUUUUAAACUUGUACUAAGCACAGACUAUACUGCUUCUUUUCUCAGAUCUGAUGAAGGGCAGCUGCUGCCUGAGUUUUCCCCCAACAUCUCUUUCAGGUAUUCCAGAAGUUCCAAUAAAUAAAAAGAAAAAGAAAAAAAACAGAACUGCUGUUAGAAUGCAUGUUACCUUUAAAGCCAAUCUUGAGCUAGACAAUGACUUUCUAGAAAAGUUUUUAAAAACAAACCCAUGCAAAGAACCUUAAGUAAAUCUUGACAGUAAAAGACACUUUUCUGGAUUUCAGCCAUGAAAUCAACCAGUUCAAAGCCCUGAGACAAGAUGUGCUUCCAGUGGCUUACAGCUUUCCUAAAGAUACCAGUAGAGCUGAAACCAAGCAUGAAACUUCAGACUGAGGGAGACUUACUUUGGGAAUUCAUUCUUACAGUUAUUUCAGCUGCAGAAAUUUAACUGAAUAGGAAACUGCCUGCGAAUGGAAAGGGGAAAUCAGCUAAGACGUGCACGUGAUCUGGCUUGUCUCCUUGGAUGCUGGUGUUUAAAGACUAUAGAAAGAGAAACUCAACCCUCCUCCCCCAUACACACACUCUUUAGAAUAACAAGACUUGAUACCCAUUUGUAGUUUUAUUUCUUGGCUUUUAAAAGGAGAGACCCCAAACUUCUCAACUAAGGCAUCAACUCAUUCUGACACUUAAGUCAUCAUGUUUGCAAGGUACUAGUUCUAGAAUUUGUAUAACAUCUUUAAAAGAAAAGAAAAACAAAAACAAAAAACCACAAAGCUCUUGUUAAAUCAGAGCAUUCCUGGCAUUGCCUUCCAAUAUGCCAAUAUACAAAGCCAAUACUUUGAAAAAAGUCCAUACCACUAGAAGGGGUAAAGAGAUUUAAAAAAUCCUGUCACCAAGUGUUACUUUUGAUAAAAAAUAACAAACAA